UACGGAGGAUCCAAGCGUUAUCCGGAUUCAUUGGGUUUAAAGGGUGCGUAGGCGGAUUUGUAAGUCAGUGGUGAAAGCCUACAGCUUAACUGUAGAACUGCCAUUGAUACUGCAAGUCUUGAGUACACUUGACGUGGGCGGAAUGUGUCAUGUAGCGGUGAAAUGCUUAGAUAUGACACAGAACACCGAUUGCGAAGGCAGCUCACGAAAUUGUAACUGACGCUGAGGCACGACAGCGUGGGGAUCAAACAGG
rnacentral:rRNA from 1 species